rnacentral:rRNA from 1 species
AAGAAGGCCUUCGGGUUGUAAAGCUCUUUUGUCCGGGAAGAAACGGGUGUUUCUAAAAUAGACAUCUACUGACGGUACCGGAAGAAUAAGCACCGGCUAACUACGUGC